CAGAGCUUAGGCCGGCAGCAGUCAGAAAUGUCUGCUGGAGAAGACACUGCAAAGUGUCAGUGAGGGCGUUUGAGAAUUAAUUUUACCCUAGAGUAGCUGCGCAGGUCUGUUUAGCACUCACCUCUACAGUUUUGAACAUUCGAUAACACCAGAAUCAGUCUGAUGCCUUGAACACUUUACAUGAAGGGUUUUUCAAAAUCUAGCCACAAACAGAUAUGACCAGAUUUCAAAAAAUUUUGAGAAACUAGGAGGAAUCUAUUUUGACAAAGCCAAGCCACACAUAGGAUAGAGGCAGACAUGCGUGCCCUGGAAAGAAGAAAGUAGAAGGAUCAACUAAAAGAGCUCUCCCACUAAAUGGCUGUGGGCUCCUCUAAGAAACUGAAACAUGGAAGAAGGAAGGACCAGCCAGCCAGAACAGCAGUGGGUAUCAAGGAAUGAUAUAAAAGCAAGCUCAAGACAGUCAAGAUUCAAGGAGCUAUAUACCUUGCUUCCUUUCCAGAGCUGAAAUUUGAGUCAAGAGUCCAUUUCUUCCAUCUGGCCAGAUGAUCUCCAGGAUACUCUCAUAGGUACCACUGGGAACUUGGGGAUUACAGACCAUUUAAAC
rnacentral:lncRNA from 1 species